CCCUGCGUGGCUCUCGCAGCCGGCUCCGCUCCUGGCUCGGCUGCUCAUCGCGGGAGCGCUCUGACAGCACCUGCAGGACAGCGCGGGCACUCGGAGCCGGGAAGGGGAAUAAGAGGGGAGCAUAUUCACACACACCUGCCCACACUGGCACUGCACAGAGGCACAUAGAGGUUCCUGUAACCUCCCUUCAUCACAUUUCACCCGAGCAGCCCAGCACUGCCAGCUCUGACAGCUUGCUCCAACACACAGCAAAAAUGAAGGCACAAGUUCCCAUUAUGUAUCUGCUGUGGACCCUACUGUUGAUUCAGAAAGGCCAUGGGAACUGUCCCCACACGCUGUGUCCUCCCGUGGGGUUCUCGGGGUGCUCGGGCAGCAGCCAGGGGACCUCUGAGGUUUUCUUGGGUUACAGGUGAUCCCAUGCACAAGGGGAAAAAAAGGAAACUAUCACUUUUCAGAAGACUGUGCACAGGAUUUAUGAUAAAAAUCCAGACAAGUCUUGCAUGUUUUCUGCUCCAUUCUUUGCGUCAAGAACACACUGGUUAAUAGCCAAUUAUUUCAUACCCUAAGGAAGUUUUGGGAAAGAAGUUCCUGGGAAGAAUCAACUUGUUUUGGGAAAUGAGACUAAUAUUCUGUAAGUGAAAUAUUUCCCUUUGCUCUCCUUCACCAUACUGUCCCAUCUCAGCACAAGGCUGAAUUUAUUGCUGUAAUAACUGUGAUUCAGAUAAAAGCAUAAUCGUUUCCCUGAGGUUUUUUUUUUUUUUUUUCUUCUUCUUCAGUUUAGCCAGGACACCAUAGCAAAAAUUUCAGUUAGGUAAUUAAAUUCUACUUAUUGAAAAUUCCUCUUUUAAAAUCUAUCCCAAACUACUGGUUGCUUUUCCUUUAAGCACUUUUAAGGGGUGAAUGCACUUUAAAUUCACAGCUCUCCAGAUUCUGAAGCCUGCUGAAUUUUUCCUUGACUGCCUAAACCAUAAUGUGCAGUUCCACCUGAGAUAUGUAAAGAUUUUACACCCUCUUUCACAAAUGAUACUGCAAUGACUCCAGGAUGAAAAUCAGAAGCUAUUCCAGAGCCAGCUAGAAGGUGACAGCAUUCAGGAACAAAAGGACUCUGCAGCCACCCCUACCCAGAACAGAAGGAACAGGGACCACUGAACACAGAAUUCAUUGAAGUCUGCUGCAUCUCCCUGUUGCAUCUUUAAUGCAGCUCAGGCUUGAAGCACAGUCAGAGAUAACACUUCACAGGAGCACAGAAGACACGAUUUUAAGUCCUAGAUCUUCUGUAAUAUCAUUCUGGAGGUGAAGGAGUAAUCCAGCUGAACAGUGCUAGUUGCAGUUUAAGAGCUAAGGGCACGUAUGCCUUGCUGAAUGAAGAUAGCUCAGUAUUCCCACUGUGAAAGCAAUUCAGCUCCUGGAAUUCACCCUGGAGCUGGCAGUGAAAGCCAGAUAGAAGAACAAGUUUGUUGUUUGCAUCAGAGAGACUUCUGCCCUCCAGAACACCCGUGCUGGUCAGUUCAUUCAGACUAAGUCCCAGCAGCCUUAGUGCCCCUUCUCAUGGAACCUACUCUUCACCAGUGACUCAAUCUGAAAAAUAGGAAUAUGAAGAAAGAAUGAAAUUAGCAGGAAUAAAAUCCUGUCUCCAUUGGAAAUCACUGGUUGCCUUCUCAGUGACUUUCAUGAAGCUACGGCCAUUUUUUCCUUCUAUUUUCAUGAUUAGCAUAAAAACCCCAACAUUGUAAAGCUGCAAUAAAAGACAUAACUCGAUAUCACAUGAUUUUUCACAAUUUAGGAAGGUGAUCCAUCCCCCUGUCUCUGGCAGCUGUGAAAAGGAGUGCUUGAACCGGCUCCAAGCAGAAGACACCUUUAUAGAGGGUAUUUAGGCAGGGUUCUACAAUCCUAUUUGACUGGCUUUGUCCAUGAUUUGAUUACUUCGUCUUUAGGAAUUAUGUUUUGCAAGUCUUUUUCACUAUUGAAGUCCCCUUCCUUUUCUUGAAAGAGCAGCUGAGAUUCUCCUCCAAAAGCUUAUUCUUUAAAAUCAAUACUUAAAAAUACCAGCAGCUUUUAAGGGGCUGGAAAUAGCUACAGGUGUGCUCACUACUUUGUGUAUUGUCAAUUUUAAUUUGGUGAGGAAAUGAAAGAUACUUAUUAUUGCAAUAAUGUGGCUCUUGAAGGCAUGGGCUUCUUCACUUAAUAAAAAGAACCAAGUCAAGAAAUCAAUACAUGAUUCAUACAAGUAGCAAUCUAUUUAAUAUAAUGAUACUGAAUUGCUAUCACAAAACAUGGUUAUAUGAUGUGAAAUACUAAAGGUGAUAAACAAAAUCUAUAUUUUAUUGUAUACAAGAAAUUCUUUUACUUGUUUAUAAUGUCUGUUGCUUGAAUAAAGUCAGAAAUCAGAGUGCAGCUGUUUUGUUACCAAAUCACACAAACCUGCCAGGGAAACUUCUAAAAAUUGAGUUAAUGUAUUUAAAAUUUUGUUUAGCAUGUGCAUAUUUUUGCUUCCCUACAAAACGAUUUUGUUUAAAUUCAGGCACCUUCCAGUAAGACUGGAAAUUUUGUAGUCACUUAUGAUUACAUACUGAGCCUGAUAUUUCUGUAGCAAUCCAGAGAUGCACGCAUAAACAUUUUUUGACUCCUGCACAGAAAUGUGAUUUUUUGUGGUAAUGAAAAAUGAACAGUAAAAGAUUGUCCUGGCAGCCCUUCCAGUGGAAAUAAUUGGUAUGAUGGCAUGGCCCACCUGGUAUCUGGCCUUAACAGACUGGGGAAGGACACUGAAAGAGAGGACAGAGGCAAAGAGUACAGAGACAAAACCAGACAGAGACAUCCAUUACAACACCAUAACCAUGCAAUAUUAAAAGGAAAGGUAACUAAUACUUUCAAAGUGACAGAAAGGUCUGUGCUCCAGUAAUAUCUCUGCAGAGCUAGCACAAUAUAGCUUUAGCCUCACAUAAGCAUAUAUAUACACCUUUCUAAAUAUGCCACUUCUGAUCUAACUCAAUUUUAAAAAUCUUGCAAGCAUGAAGAUGCUCUAAAACACAUUGGGUUAGGUUAGGGAAGAGAAGUUGACCAGUACUUUUUCCUUAUUUGUUUCACAGGACUCAGCACGGGCAAGACAGAAUGUGUACAAUUGCAAACUACUUAAAUAUUCCCCACAGAUCUAUUUUAAGCACUCAUAUUUCAAUCAAUGGUUCAGAAGGAAGCUGCAAUAUAAACACAUUCCAUUCAACUCGAUUUGCAUAUUGAUGUCAGUAGUUUGAAUCAAACCAAUUAGACCAUGUAGUUAUCUAUGGAAAACAUAUGGCAGACUGAUAAAAACCCAGUUCUAUGUUUAAAAUCUACAGUAUUUCAUUAUCAUAGCAAAAAAGCAGCUGAAGCGGGGUGCUAUUUUUCAUGGACUAGACAAACUGAUACAAGGAGAACUUCUUGGGCUGGAUCCUCAGCUGGUAAAAAAUCACUCUGAAUACAGUAGUGAAUUGAAAUGCAGCUAGUCAGUCUGAAAGCAAACACAUGCUCAUGUAGACAUUGAAUCAAGCACUGAUUUCUCUUUGUUCUCAGUUCCUUGUGUGAGAUGGGGCUAUCCCAUUUUCUUACCCAUUCUUAUUUCAAUUAGAGCAAAAGUUCUUCAGAAAGAGCAUCAUCUCUUACUUUGCUUAAAAAAAAAAAAACCAAAAUGAACCAAAAUUGCAAAAGGCCCAUCUAUGCUGAGCUACUGCCCUAACAUGAAUAAUGGCAGGGGCACCUCACCCUUUUUAUCUCUAAGUUUUCCCUUCCACGAUGACCUAAAAGCUUUUCUUAGCUCAUGUUUAUCUUCGGCAAUAAAUCAUGUUUUCAUUGCAUCUCUGCCUCAUUGGGGUCCAAAUAACAGAACAAGACAAAUUAAACUGUAAAACAGUGGCUGAGGAAAGAAAUAAAGAAGGACAGAUAAAUGAAUUCAUGUGGGAAAGACAACACUGAUUCUAAACACCAUCUUUUACUGUUGGUGCUUCUCAUAUUAAAAAGAAAAAAAAAACUCCUUUGAACAGGCAGUGAUUUAGCUGUAAAAAUAUCUGGUCUGCACAACAUGACUAAUCAUCUCCUCAGCACCAUGAUCAGAUCUGCAUGUUCUCCUGGCAAUAACUAUAUGCUAAGCAUUUAAAACCAUCCUAAUAAUACGUCCAUGGCUCCUAGACUGCUCUUUUACUGAAUGAAGCAUCCACAUGAUUUGUUAGGUGACAUCAUUUACAAACAAUGGCAUUGCUGUCUAGAAUGAAUACCACUUUAGGGGGAAAAAAAAUGAAUACACCAUCAUCUAUUUGAAAUUCAGGCUUAGCACUGUAUAACGUAACAAUAUAUGCUAAUUUCUCCCCCCUCCUACACAUUCUUCUUCAAAUAAGUCACAUUCUUCAUCCACUAAGUCAGUUCACUGCAGAUAAUUUAUUCCACAAGUACUGAAUCAUGAAAUGCCAGGAGACAUGACCAUGGAUCAGGACAACAUAGUUAAUUUUUUUAUUAUUAUUUUCAUACACUCCCCAUACCUGUGUAUGUAUUAAAAAAGGAAUAUCCUGGUAUCAAAAUAAUCCACAUAUAGAUAGCAGUCAGAGUUCAAGGAGAAAACAAAAUGUUGUCUUUUUCUCAUUGGUAUUCAUAUAGCAAAUGCUGAGGCAAGAAAACUCUACUAAAUGUUGUCCUGUCUGUGAACCCUGAAAUAGUUUCAGUCCCUCAUGAAGAUUUUACUAAGUUUAUAUGAAUUACAUUCAAAAGCAAGGUUAGUAAUAAAAAUAAGUUUUGGAAGCAUUGAAACACUUCAGUUAAAUUAAAACCUACCACUUAAAUGCUGAAGUUAAUUAAGAAUCACAGAAAUCUCUGCUGAUACCCCAGAAAAGAAUGUCUCCUUCUGCAUAUUCAAACCAAAUACUUUUCCAGACCAGGCAGUUUCCUUUAGAAAUCAGAAUAAAUUUAGAAAUAGAAUUUCUUCUGUUGGAAAAGGCCCUUUAAGAACAUUGAGUUCAACCAUUAACCAAGCACUGUCAAGUCACUGCUAAACCAUGUGUUGCCACGUCCACAUGUUCUUUAAAUAUUUCCAGAGAUGGUGACUCAACCACUUCCCUGGACAGUAUAUUCAGUAUUUGAGAAGAUGUUUUCCCUGAUAUGCAAUCUAAACCUCCCUUGCCACAACCUGAGGCCUUUUCCUCUCUGCAAUGCAUGCACUUGACUCCUUAACCAAAGCAGAAGUAGUUUGGUAGAGUUGUGAAAAGAUGGAAACACCUGAGCUGUAACUGGGCCAAGAACUUCUCCAGUUCUAGUUUGUUCUCUGAAAACCACAAGGGAAAAUAGUCACCCACAGAACAGCUACAUAAAGAACUGAAGGUACUGUACACAGAAGACUCAAAACCCUGUAUGCAACAAUCCAUGUGGCUCAAGUGGUGUCUGCUUAACAGCUUCCCAAAAAACAAACCUGGAUGCUUAUUCAAGGUUGUUUUAACCUCUUGAAUCUCAAGCAACUAACGCUUGGCAAGAAAAGUGCUAAAUACUCUGCCUCUGAGAAAAAAGGAACAGCAAAUUUUAUCCCAGGUGCUUAUUGUUCCCAUAGAUUGAAUACUCACACAAUUGUUUUGGUUUGGUGUUGGUGUAUAGUGUCUAUUGAUUUUAAAAUUCACUUAACACUGGAUGAACAGAAGGAGCAGAAUAAAUUACCAAACAAGCAAUUUAAGAUGGGUAUAUUGGGGUUCUGGGAGUGACCCAUGUCUCUUUUGUGCUAUUUAAUAUCUUUGAUGGUAGCAGGAUUGUGAAGAGCAAUAACAAAACUGUUGCGUAGACUGGUUUGGAUCAGUGGUUAGGCUGUGACCAUUUUAAUUUCGUUAGAGGGAAUGGUAUACAGUGGAAAAUAAGGGAAAGCAAUCCAUGUAAUGUGGACUGAAUUUGGAAAACAGUAAAUCAAGAAGUGAGACUUGGAAGUUGAAUCUUGAUAAAUUUAAAUUGGAUUAGUAUAAAAGUUCAAAUGUUCUGUGUCUUCAAAUUUGAAACUGUCUUUUAGUAAAAGCUAUAAAUUCUUUCUUGGGUGCUUUAAAAUCAAGAUGGGCUCUAUUUUGUAUUUGUGCUUUAGUCCUAUACAAAGUAAUAAGCCUAGUAAAGGAACAACCAGGUGAUUCAGACAGCCCUAUGUGUUUUCCUACAGUGGGUGAAGUACUGCAUCCCUCCCAUCUCUGACUAACACUCCAACUUCAGAAACAUAUGGCUUAAAAUGUUCAAGAGUCUGUCGGAACUCCAUUUCAUUGAAUUAUCAAAACCAGUGUUCAGUAACAACACAGCUUCCCACUUCAAAAUCUCUCCUAUAUCUGAACACAACAAUUUUGCAUCCUCAGACUAAAAAGAAAAACUAGAAUUUUAUUACUUCCACUGAGGAUGCAAAGAGAAAACAUAAUUAUAUUUAAAUAUAUAAGCAGGCAACAAUUCACAUGGAAUUAUUUUGCACAUGUAUGUAGAACAAUGAGAGGCACCAGUCUGGUAAUUGUUUUCUGGAAUAAAGUAAAUAUAUCAAGAUCAAAUACAAUUAUUAAUCUGUAAUCCUUCUUUCAAAAUUUGUCACCAAGAAAACAAGAAAUCAAAAAGGAAAAAAAUCCAAGAAAUGUAUUAUUUUUUCACUGCAUACUUUAUCAAACACACCUUCCUAAAACCUUGUACUCCUCUAAGCAAUAACACUUGUUUACUCUGAGUGUUAGUAUAUCAAAACUUGCAGUAAAGGUGAAUUUAUUUCAGACUAAUAUUUACAAGGCCAUGUACUGUCAUUGUUCUCUAGAAGAAGAAUUUGAUGUCCAUAGAAGUUAAAUUGAAGGUCACUUAUGGCUCAAAUUGCUGCUGAAGCUAUGUUGCAGGAAUUUGCUUCUACAUUGUUGACCUUUGCUUUCAAAGUCUUAUUUCUUGACCAUGGAAAAAAAAAAAAAGAAAAAUCAUUCAAGGCUGUUACUUUGAAAUAUAAUGUACAAGGUGUUAAGCUACAGAAGUUAUUCUUCAUUAAUGAAAGGGGGAAGGAGGGGAGAAGGAAACAAAAAAAACCCUCAACACCUGAAACCACUAAGCAAGUCUCAAAUGUGAUUGACUUGUAUAAAAAAGGCAGUGGCUUUAAUUUUGGGUUCAGACACAGAUAAUGACUGAUAACAUUCUCUAAAUUUCCACAACAGCUCAUAAUUUGUCUCAGUCAUGGCAAAGUACAUCAUACUGAAGCACCUCCUUACCUCACAUUUCAUGGACUCUUGGAUACAGGGCAAUAUCACUGUUAAGGACACUUUCCUGUGCCACCAGGAAGCCAGGAGCCACUCUGGCAGCCACCCUUGCACCACCCCAGGCUGUCACUGCUGGGACAAAAGUCACAGUGUGGCACAGUCCACACCUGGCUCCCUGCACACCCCACUCACAGCCAGACCAGGUUUCCUGUAGCAAAGUCUCAGAUGUCCAGAUCCAUCAACCAAUUUAAUUCUGGUGCAAUAACCAAAUAAAAAAAUACCAGCUCGAGCUGGUGCCUCUGAGGAGGGACUCAGAACUCCUGGGCUUUUAUCCCCUCGCUGUCCUAGCUCCAGGAAAGUCUGGCGUUCUCAGCUCCUGCCCUGAGUGUCUUCACCCAGCUGAGCCACAGGUGCCCUUUGUUAUCCAAAGGGUGGCAAUUCAUGGCCUCUUGUCUCAGCCCCCUCCCAGAGCUCACCCUGCAGCUGCACCGCGACCCAUCCACCUGCACCGAAUGGAUUCCUCAAGAACCACAAUGUAUUCUGAAAAUGUGACAGAGGUGUUGUCAAGUGUAAUGCUCUCAAAGAAUCCAAGGCAAGCAGUAGUUGAUGCAGGUCAGACAGAGCAUUCAGUCGGGCUGGUGGAGGGAACUGGGAGGAAUUCCUAGUGCUGUUGAAUGCAGAGUUUGAGCACAGCUAAAGUAGAGGCUCUGUUUAGUGGAAAUCCCUUUGGAUAUCUGUGGCAGCUGCUGCCUUGAAGUGCUUCUUGCACUCUUCUUCUCUUGGAAGUUCCCUCCCCACCCUCUCUGUUGGAGCUCAGCUCUGUAGAGCAGCUGCUGAACAGCAGAAUUUAUAGCUAAGGACUUUAAGUAAAAUCAGAAUUUAUUUCAGAUACCCUCCUGUUCUAUGGUGCAAGUCCUGGCAGCUCAGACAUGUUUGGGAAGGGUUUUCAUCGAACUCACAAAAGGCUGCCCUCAACAGGAUUAGCAGAGUCAGCAGCUCCCACAUCUGGUUUCAGAUCCAUGUAGGAGGGUAAAAUUGAAAAGAUGAGUACAGUCCACCUUCAGUGCAUCAUUAAAGUUUUAGUCUCAGUUGUGAUGGGUUAAGUUCAUUGUUAUUCUUCAUUAAAAUAUCUAGGAGUAGUUAAAUAUGGUUUAGAAUUGAAUUUAUAGUU